GAACUUAAGCCCCAGUAAACGGCGGCCGUAACUAUAACGGUCCUAAGGUAGCGAAAUUCCUUGUCGGGUAAGUUCCGACCCGCACGAAAGGUGUAACGACUUGGGCACUGUCUCAACAAGAGAUCCGGUGAAAUUGUAGUACUCGUGAAGAUGCGAGUUACCCGCGACAGGACGGAAAGACCCCAUGGAGCUUUACUGCAGGCUGACAUUGGAUUUUGGUAUUACAUGUACAGGAUAGGUGGGAGACUUAGAAACCAGGGCGCCAGUUUUGGUGGAGUCAACCUUGGGAUACCACUCUUGUGAUACUGAAAUUCUAACCAGGAGCUGUGAAACCAGCUUUGGGACACUGUCAGUUGGGCAGUUUGACUGGGGCGGUCGCCUCCUAAAGAGUAACGGAGGCGCUCAAAGGUUCCCUCAGCACGGUCGGAAAUCGUGCAAAGAGUGUAAAGGCAGAAGGGAGCUUGACUGCGACACCAACAAGUGAAGCAGAAACGAAAGUUGGACUUAGUGAUCCGGUGGCGCCAAGUGGAAGGGCCAUCGCUCAACGGAUAAAAGCUACCCUGGGGAUAACAGGCUUAUCUCCCCCAAGAGUCCACAUCGACGGGGAGGUUUGGCACCUCGAUGUCGGCUCGUCUCAUCCUGGGGCUGAAGCAGGUCCCAAGGGUUGGGCUGUUCGCCCAUUAAAGAGGCACGCGAGCUGGGUUCAGAACGUCGUGAGACAGUUCGGUCCCUAUCCGUCGUGGGCGUAGGAAAUUUGAGAGGAGCUGUCCUUAGUACGAGAGGACCGGGAUGGACAGACCUCUGGUGUAUCAGUUGUUUCGCCAGAAGCACAGCUGAGUAGCUAUGUCUGGAAGGGAUAAGUGCUGAAGGCAUCUAAGCACGAAGCCUCCCUCAAGAUUAGAUUUCCCACCGCAAGGGUAAGACUCCAAGUAGACUACUUGGUUGAUAGGUCGCAGGUGUAAGAGUAGCAAUACUUUGAGCUAAGCGAUACUAAUAAGUCGAGGGCUUGACCAA
rnacentral:rRNA from 1 species